rnacentral:rRNA from 1 species
CUACGGGACGCACCAGUGAGGAAUAUUGCACAAUGGGGGGAACCCUGAUGCAGCAACGCCGCGUGGAGGAUGACGCAUUUCGGUGUGUAAACUCCUUUUAUAUGUCAAGAAAAUGACGGUAGCAUAUGAAUAAGCACCGGCUAACUCCGUGCCAGCAGCCGCGGUAAUACGGGGGUGGCAAGCGUUGUCCGGAAUUACUAGGCGUAAAGGGCCGGUAGGCGGAUAUUCAAGUCAGGUGUUAAAGGCAUCAGCUCAACUGGUGUACGGCAUUUGAAACUGGAUAUCUAGAGUCAGGUAGAGGUAGAUGGAAUUCCUAGUGUAGCGGUGGAAUGCGCAGAGAUUAGGAAGAACACCAAAGGCGAAGGCAAUCUACUGGGCCAUGACUGACGCUAAACUGCGAAGGUGUGGGUAUCAAACAGGAUUAGAUACCCGUGUAGUC